AGAGGAAACCACAAAGAUUUAAGCCUUCUAUGGAAAAGCGAGCUAAAAGGUCCAGAACAUGUGCGAAAUGCAAAAAGAAAGGUCAUAAUGUUCGAACGUGUAAAGAGGUAAUCUAUUUUGUAGUUUUAUUAAAACUUUAUUGUCUUCUUUUAUACUCCAAAUAGAGAAUCUAAAUAGUUUUCUCUUAUCUUUAUAUAGGUUGCACUGGGAGAUGCAUACUUCGAUGUAGAUGUUAAUGAAAGCAACAGCAAAUAACGUAUUUUGUUAAUACUUUUGUAUGUAUGGUUUUAGUGUAUAGUUUCACAUGUAAAUUACGCCUUAUGGUGCUUCUUUUUGGUUUAAAAAGCUUUGUUAUAUUUUGAGAUAUAAGGGUCGAUGUGUAAUUCAUGCCCUUAGCUUUGGUAUUAAACUUCUAUCUUAAAGAAUAACACAUAUGAAAAAAUGAUUCAAUGAUAUAUUAUGUUAAUGAAAGCAGCAGGGAGUAAAAUAUUUUGUUCAUAUUUUUUUAUGUAUGGUUUGGAUGUAUAGUAAAUUAUGCCUUCUGAUACUUCUUUUUUGGCUUAAAAAGUUUUGUUAUAUUUUGGGGGAUAAGUGUUGAUCUGUAGUUCAUGCUCUUUAGCUUUGGUAUUAAACUUCUGUCUUGAAAAAUAAUACAUAUAAAAAAAAUGAUUCAAUGAUAUACCAUAUUGUUUCUAUUUCUUUUCCUACUUUAGGUUUGACAUGCUCUUCUCAAACUUAAUUUGUAGAGCUGCUUUUUAUUUUGAGGUUGAAGUUAUUAGCAAGUAGCUAAUAUUUGAAUAAGUAUGCAAUAUUCUAUUUUGAUCAGUAAGCAUGCAGAAAGUAACAAGCUGAGAUAACCAGCAAGCUACAANNNNNNNNNNNNNNNNNNNNNNNNNNNAAAAAAAAAAAAAAAAGGAGCACAUAAUAAUAUGAUUUUAGUGAUAUUUCAUAUUCGCUGCCUUUUUUGAGAUCUAUAUGACAAGCUAAUUAUACCACAUUUAUAAAUGGUAUAAGAUAAAGGCACAAAACAUUCAUUUACAGAGUACAUUUUUAAGUUCUGUAUGACAGAAUCUAUGCCUUUAACUUUAUAAUAAUGUGUGAAACUAUUACGCGUACGUAUGUGACUUUUUCAGCACAAUAGAUAUGUAGAAGCAGAUCAAGAAAUGGAUCUAGAACCUAAUUUUGCCAUCAUGAUUUAAGUUAACCAACAAAUUAUAAACAUAUAAAAUCAUUUUAAUACGGAUUAGCAUCCGUUAGUUUUUAAUCACAAUCAGAUUGGGAUCUAAGCCUUAGAUUGUUGGAACAAAUACCGCAACGAAAAUUUGAUUGUGAUUAAAAAUCUAACUAAUUUGUAAUAAAGAUAAAAUUGAACUUACAGAUAAACGCAAAUAUUCCAAUAAAAAUUUGAUCUUAUCCGGAAGCGUGCGAGGGACUGUCCUAAGGCUUAUUCCCGUCCUUCGUGCAGGAUUAACCGGAAAUACCGCCCCAAGAUACGAUCGGAAUUCCUCCUCCUACGGACACGAACGCGGAAGAGGUUGACGAAGCUUCUUUCAACACCCGGCAAUAAAAUGAUCAAAUAAAAUGAAUAAAAAAAAUUAAAUCAAUUUAAUAAUUAAUUAGUAGCUCUCUCUGUGAGCUCUUUUGUCCUUUUCAUCCCCCUGUGUAAAGGUGAAGGACAACAUCUAUAUGUAUAAGGCGAGUAUGAGAUGGACUCCAACGUUCGGCUCCGAAAAGUAUGCCUUCGAGCGCUUUCACGCCUGACGAUGCGCACUAUGGCGCGUAACGUCCACGCCACUCUCGGAUUCCAAACGGCUCUAAACAUCAAAACAAUUAAUAUAUAAAUAUAAAUAAAUAAAAUAUAUAUUCAAAAAUUUUGAGUUUGUCCAACACACUCUUCGCUGCCAUGUGUACUUCGCAACGUAGUGAAAGCAUUAAUGCUGUCACUAAAAUUUGGGUCGACAACCAUACAUCAAUAUACAAAUUUGUCCUUCAAAUUAAAAAAGUGGUUGAAACUCGAUACGACAAAGAAGAUGAGAAGGAUUACAGAAUGAGAGGUGGUGAGGUGAAGCUUUAUUCAUAUGAUCCCAUUGAAGUUCAAGCUCGUGAUAUUUAUACAAAAAGAAAUUUCUUUGAAUUCAAGGAACAAUUGAGAUUGAUCUUGGGACAUUCAUUGCACCAUAUAAGUAACUGCAAUACACAAUCCUACAAUGACCUAUUAUUGCUAGCAUGAAUCGAUUAGCAGAAAAGGUCUCAUGCAAUUGCAAAUGUUCGAAUUUACGGGCCUUUUAUGCACAAAGGAGAUCUUUCAACAUUCAAUCUAUACAACAUGAGGCAAUGGGUGACUCUGUGCAUGCAAAGGUUAUAAGGUCUAAUGCACUUAGUCAACGAGUGCAAGAGUUGUCCAUCAAGGUGCGAAAUCAUUCGGAUCAUUUGAGUUGACUUGUUAAUUAUUUAAAAGAGUUGUUGAUGAAAUUGUUUCGUAUAAUCAAGCUUCUAAUGUAGUACAAGGCUAAGAAGUUGAAGAAUUUAAUGUAGCUCCACUUACACAAACAAGUGACCUUGAUGUUACUUUGAAGGACCCACCACAGUCACAGUGUAAAGGAAAGAGGAAACCACAAAGAUUUAAGCCUUCUAUGGAAAAGCGAGCUAAAAGGUCCAGAACAUGUGCGAAAUGCAAAAAGAAAGGUCAUAAUGUUCGAACGUGUAAAGAGGUAAUCUAUUUUGUAGUUUUAUUAAAACUUUAUUGUCUUCUUUUAUACUCCAAAUAGAGAAUCUAAAUAGUUUUCUCUUAUCUUUAUAUAGGUU
rnacentral:lncRNA from 1 species